GUCAAUUGUGCGUGUGCUAACUUUCUCUCGCCGCAGAAAUAGACUACUACUGUAUUUUUAGCAUUUUUCUUUCACCUCAUAUUUGGUGUCAAAUGCUGAUACUAUGUGGGAAUGCAGUGAGAUUAACUGCGAGAAAGUUAAACAACAACGGUGACAACUUACAGCACACCUUCUGCCAAGCAGACUCUCCAAGGCCUCGGUUUCCUGGAGGCUCAGCAGGGAGCUCCACAUGCUCUCAGUCUUGCUUUUAGACCCUCGGCUCAUGGUGCACCUUGAAGCUCACGAGUGUCUCUGGAUUAGUGGUGUCAAAACUUUUUCCACUGAGGGCCACAUACUGGAAAAUGAAAGGAUGCAAGGGCCACUUUGAUAUUUUGUAAACCAACACAUGUAGAUAUGCUAAGAAGUUAUAUAUAUUUCAGGAAAUAAUUGCAUCUCAGCUUUGUGAUAUGGGUGAAAAAGUAGUAUGAACAUCCUUUUCCCCCAAUUUUGCUGUUGAAUGUUCCAAAUAUUUCAACUUUUUCUUAAAUUUCAUACAUUUUCUCCUUGUAAUAUUUUGACUUUAUUCCCAUAAUAUUAUAACAAGGGAUGUCCGAUAUUGGCUUUUUUGCCAAUAACCAAUAUGUUGAUAUUGUCCAGCAUCAACGGAUAUUGUCCGAUAUCAACCGAUACCGUUUUGUGUAACAUCACAUAUCAUGUCAUGGAAUUAACACAUUGUGGUGACCCAAAAUAUUGUUUUAGACAUUUUAUACAUUUCUUUUGGAGAUUAAUAAAGUAUCUAUCUACCUACCUACCUACCUACCUACCUACCUACCAAGUGUACUUUCGUUUCCUGGUCAUGAGGUUGUUGUAGCCACUUAGCUAUUGCUAAAGAGUUGUUGCUUGUUGUUGAGUGGUGAGUAAACUGAUUGGUGUCAACUACCUCAACUCCUGUCUCGUUGUGAAUCGCAUCUCCACAUUUGGUGACCCUUGACGUUGGUAAAAAUGUCGACUGACAACAGAGACAGCGAGACCGUGCCGACGCCGCUACAAGUUAACGAGUUAGCGAACGUAUCUGCGCAACACCCACGCCCGUGGUUUCAACAUAUCAAGCCAAGUAUUUCCACGUAUUGGCACCACUGUAUGGCUCGAUGACGGCAAGUACAGGAGCCCAUAGGCCCA